rnacentral:lncRNA from 1 species
CAAUAGAACAUAUAGUACUAACAUAUAGUACUACAUAAAUCUAUAGUGCUAACUGAUCUCAUAAUUGUAGGCACCAAUAUUAUCCACCUCUAUUGUUGCCUGCAUACUGUGCUAGGUACCACCCCCCCUGACCUGGUUUUUAUAUUGCCUAAGCCAUUUACUUAUUUACUUGCCGCUGAUAUGUGGAUACGGCUUACCUCCUCACUACCUGGCUUUGUUGUGCUGUCAAAUUAAGUAGGG